UGCUAUAAAGGAAACACAAAUGAAUAAUAAUAACAGUUGUAAGACCCCCUUUCAGGGACCCCCACUCUAGUCUCGGGUAAGAGAGAGCACCCAAAGAAACAUGAGAAUCC
rnacentral:pre_miRNA from 7 species